rnacentral:rRNA from 1 species
AGAGUUUGAUCAUGGCUCAGAUUGAACGCUGGCGGCAGGCCUAACACAUACAAGUCGAGCGGCAGCGACUUAACUGAACCUUCGGGGAACGUUAAGGGCGGCGAGCGGCGGACGGGUGAGUAAUGCCUGGGAAUAUGCCCUGAUGUGGGGGAUAACUAUUGGAAACGAUAGCUAAUACCGCAUAAUCUCUUCGGUGCAAAGAGGGGGACCUUCGGGCCUCUCGCGUCAGGAUUAGCCCAGGUGGGAUUAGCUUGUUGGUGAGGUAAUGGCUCACCAAGGCAACGAUCCCUAGCUGGUCUGAGAGGAUGAUCAGCCACACUGGAACUGAGACACGGUCCAGACUCCUACGGGAGGCAGCAGUGGGGAAUAUUGCACAAUGGGGGAAACCCUGAUGCAGCCAUGCCGCGUGUGUGAAGAAGGCCUUCGGGUUGUAAAGCACUUUCAGUAGGGAGGAAGGUAGUGUAGUUAACACCUGCAUUAUUUGACGUUACCUACAGAAGAAGCACCGGCUAACUCCGUGCCAGCAGCCGCGGUAAUACGGAGGGUGCGAGCGUUAAUCGGAAUUACUGGGCGUAAAGCGCAUGCAGGCGGCCUGUUAAGUCAGAUGUGAAAGCCCGGGGCUUAACCUCGGAACUGCAUUUGAAACUGGCAGGCUAGAGUCUUGUAGAGGGGGGUAGAAUUUCAGGUGUAGCGGUGAAAUGCGU